rnacentral:rRNA from 1 species
CCUACGGGUGGCAGCAGUGAGGAAUAUUGGUCAAUGGCCGGAAGGCUGAACCAGCCAAGUAGCGUGAGGGAAGACUGCCCUAUGGGUUGUAAACCUCUUUUAUGCGGGGAUAAAGGUGUCCACGUGUGGCUGUUUGCAGAUACCGCAUGAAUAAGGCCCGGCUAAUUCCGUGCCCACAGCCCGGGUAAUAACGAAGGUUCGGGCGUUUACCGGAUUUUUUGGGUUUAAAGGGAGCGUAGGCCGGUCUUUAAGCGUGCCGGGAAAUUUUGCGGCUCAAACCUGGGAGUGCGGCGCGAACUGGAGACCUUGAGUGGGCGGAAGGCAGGCGGAAUUCGUGGUGUAGCGGUGAAAUGCUUAGAUAUCACGAAGAACCCCGAUUGCGAAGGCAGCCUGCCGCAGCGUUACUGACGCUGAAGCUCGAAAGCGCGGGUAUCGAACAGGAUUAGAUACCCUUGUAGUC